rnacentral:rRNA from 1 species
AACGAACGCUGGCGGCGUGCUUAACACAUGCAAGUCGAGCGAGAAAGGGGGAGCAACCCAUGAGUAGAGUGGCAAACGGGUGAGUAACGCGUGGGCGACCUACCUUCGAGUGGGGGAUAACCUUCCGAAAGGAGGGCUAAUACCGCAUGACAUCCCGUGUUUGGAUACACGGACAUCAAAGCCGGGGAUCGUAAGACCUGGCGCUUGAAGAGGGGCCCGCGUCCGAUUAGCUAGUUGGUGAGGUAACGGCUCACCAAGGCUCCGAUCGGUAUCCGGCCUGAGAGGGCGGACGGACACACUGGAACUGAGACACGGUCCAGACUCCUACGGGAGGCAGCAGUGGGGAAUUGUUCGCAAUGGGCGCAAG